rnacentral:lncRNA from 1 species
AAAUGGUCGCUGAUAAUUUAGUCGGUUUACCACAUACUAAUUUCACCCAAAAUGAUACCAUACGGACUUUAAUAUCUAAAUUGAUGGGAUAUCGUCCAAGCUCACCAUAUAUUACGCAAUUUGGGAUAGAAGACUUUAGGUGCAGAAGAAGCUUACAGAAUUUUAAUUGAACUUUCUCCAAAAUGUCGUUAUUCCCAAACCCCCAAAUUUCACAACCGUACAAUAAGACCGGU